rnacentral:lncRNA from 1 species
UCGUCGUCUCCCUCAGUUCUUGGUGGCGCCAAUGUAGAACCUGAGCCCGAUGCCAUCUCUUAACUUGCCGCCGCUUGAGGGAUGCUGCGCUUCCGUCCAUCGCCUCGGGGUGCGAUUUCCGGCGAGACUGCCGUGUCUGGAUUUCAUUCGCCACCGUUGGCAGAUUCCGAGAAUCGGCGAAGUCGCCACAGCUCUGGUUCAGUGCGUCGUCAUUCCCGAUUUAGAGCUGGCAGUAGUCUCCCCCCUCCAACCUAAAGCUAAGUUUUAAACUUGCUUCUUCUUCUUUUCAUUGCAAUGAAGUAUCGAUACACAUAGAGGCUUAUUCGAGCAAGAGAAGUCAGAGCUUAAUUGUUCUAAAAGUGAGCAUGUUGUGGUUGUAUUUGUUCGUCUAUCAGUAAUAGUGGUGAGUUAAAGUGUUCCCCAUAUUCUGUGUCUGUGGAGUCUAUUGUUGUUCAUCGAAUACAUGAAUCAGAUGUAACAUAUCUCUAUAUCCCUAGAGUAAAGGCAGUGUAGUCUGCUGUUGCUACAUAAACUUAUGUGAAUAACUAAUCAUGCUCAUCUCCGAUUAGCAGCAUUCAUUAAAAAAAUCAUGCUAUGAUGAUGCGUGAAGCAUGUACAUGGAGAUAGUGAACUGGGAUAACGUAUAAUACCUUGAGGAUAUGGAUGUGGUGGCUGUUUGCUGCUGUGUUGAAUUAAAUGCAGGGGAUGGAAAUUGAAAUAGAGUAAUCUUGGUAACUACCUUAAUGAAUGAAGGUGAAAUUGUGGCAGGGAGUAUUAAAGUUCAAGGUGAAGCUUACCUCGAAAUAGCUUGGUGUUGGUUAUAUUAUCUGCUGCUGUAGUUGACUGAUCUUAAUUGGGGGUAACUGAAACAUAACAGUGGUUAUUCUUGCAUUAAUGCAGGUGAAAUCUUGGAGGAGUUGAAGAGAGUUAAAGAAGUUUACCUCAUUGGCAGAGAUGGAUGAAUGAUUUCCUCUCUUCUUCACGUGAGCUGUUAGAGUAUAAUGGAGAAGGAGUGUUAGGAGGUUGUUUGCUGAAAUGAUAGGUAAAAAGGGUUGAAGGCUGGCUGGAGCUUGAGUACCUACUAAAUGGUAGGGUGGCUGAUGUGAGUCCUAUGUGUACCUUGGGUAUGGCUGUUGUGGCAGAGGUGGAGUGCUUACUGCUGUUGCAGUUGCUGCAGAAAAUGGGGAGGGGACGCAACUGAUCUUAUUCUCCCCUCUCCCUUUAUUACUCCUUCCGUCCACCAAAAAAACUCCCAGUUGGAGUUCGGCAUGGAGACUAAAAUAGCUGAAAAAGGUGGUGUAAAAGACUAAAAGGAUAGUGUUUAUGUAUUGUGAUUACUUUUACUAAUCUUCCACUAACUAUUUGAUAAUAAUAAUAAUAAUAACAACAAUAAUAAUAAUAAUAACAAUAACAAUAACAAUAAUAAUAAUAAGGAUAAUAAUAAUAAUAAUAAUAACAAUAAUAAUAACAAUAACAAUAACAAUAAUAAGAAUAAGAAUAAUAAUAAUAACAAUAAUAAUAAUAAUAAUAACAACAAUAAUAAUAAUAAUAAUAAUAAUAAUAAUAAUAAUAAUAAUAACAACAACAAAAACAACAACAAUAAUAAUAAUCAUAAUAAUAAUAACAAUAACAAUAUUAUAAUAAUAAUAAUAAUAAUAAUAAUAAUAAUAACAACAAUAAUAAGAAUAAUAAGAAUAAGAAUAACAAUAAUAAGGAUAAUAAUAAGGAUAACGAUAAUAAUAAUAAUAAUAAUAACAAUAAUAAUAAUAAUAACAAUAACAAUAAUAAUAAUAAUAAUAAUAGUCGUAAAAAUAAUAAUAAUAAUAAUAAUAAUAAUAAUAAUAAUAAUAACAACAACAAUAACAAUAACAAUAAGGAUAAUAACAAUAAUUAAUUAAAUGAGAUUUUAUUAAAAAAGAGAAGAAAAAACAGACCUAAAACCCUUGAGAACACAGAGGAGUUAACUAAGGGCCGAGCCUCAUUAAAACCCUUUUAAGGCAAACCCAAACGGGAAAAUCCUUAAAAGGGAAAAAGAGUGCUCGUCUAGAAAAGACUGCGAGGGAGCGGAGAAGAGACAGCUUCAGAAGUUCCGGCCUAACCAUCACCCCUAAGCCGCUCGGCUCCCAAACGCAGCGAAAGCAAACAAACAAAAACGAAAAAAACAACAAAAAAACCCAGCAAAAGAGACAGAAAAAACCACACCGUUCCUCCAAACGAAAAAAACCAACGAAGCCCAAGAGAACUGGCCUAUCAAAACACGAAAACAGAGGGCCACCCAAACCCAGCAGAACAAUCCAGCCGUUCUUCAAGCAAAACGAACUCGGACGCAGAGUACGGCGACCCCGGCCGCGAACACCUGCUCUCAUGCCCAUUCUAGAACGCUCCUUGCAACAAGGAAGUCCAACGACAAACCUAGGAGAAAGAAAGUGAUAGAACACCAAGACUACCGUUCAUCAACGACCCAAACAACGGAGCCAUAAAAACUCGACGCCGACGCAACAACAACAACGCCGCGGAGCUUCCCAGACGAACCAAAACUCACAGCCCCAGUUCCGAGCUCACCCGGAAGCUGAAAAAAGGCCCUGAUCUUGGUCCCUAACCAACACCAACGACAAUCCAGCAAAAAACCCGCACAAAGAAACCAAUAAGUAAUAGGAACCCAAAGCGCCGACCAGAUGUUUGUGAAAAAUCCAAGCUUGUCAAAACAUAAAAGAUGCGGUCCCUCCAAGCAAAGACGCCAUCCCAGGAGGGAAUCAGCAUGAUUAUCAAAAGAAAAGGGUGAUAGAACACCAUGGCUCCCGUUCAUCAACGACCCGAACAACAGGACCAAAAACUCAACGCCGACGCAUCUGCUAGCAACGUCGCGGAGCUUCCAAAACGAACCAAAACUCAUAGCCCCAGCUCCGAGCUCACCCGGAAACUGAAAAAAGGCUAAGAGAUUAGUCCCUAAACCCCCGCCCCUGUCAAACCAUCUCAUACCCGCACAGAACUCCCAUCUUCUAUCAAACAACCAGAACGCAUACCAGGUGUUUGUGAAAGAGUCCAGGCAGCCAACGAGCAAGUAUAGCUUCUGCCACAUCCAAAGCCCAAUCAUCCGCGAAUGCGUAUAUGGCUGUGAGUGGCCAUGUCCGUCCUGACCGCUUUUUUGAUGGCCUCGACCUCGUGCGGCCACCACCCCUCCAUCAUGUUUUGAUUGGCCAUAAUGUCCGCAGGUUUGUUGCCUUCACGAUAGAUAUGCGUAACUUGAAGAUUAAAAUUUUGUAACAGACCAAGAGUAUACUUCCAAGAAGCAAAAAAACGCCAAGGCACGUUAGAAGAUCGAGAAUUCAAAACUUAUGUGAAUAACUAAUCAUGCUCAUCUCCGAUUAGCAGCAUUCAUUAAAAAAAUCAUGCUAUGAUGAUGCGUGAAGCAUGUACAUGGAGAUAGUGAACUGGGAUAACGUAUAAUACCUUGAGGAUAUGGAUGUGGUGGCUGUUUGCUGCUGUGUUGAAUUAAAUGCAGGGGAUGGAAAUUGAAAUAGAGUAAUCUUGGUAACUACCUUAAUGAAUGAAGGUGAAAUUGUGGCAGGGAGUAUUAAAGUUCAAGGUGAAGCUUACCUCGAAAUAGCUUGGUGUUGGUUAUAUUAUCUGCUGCUGUAGUUGACUGAUCUUAAUUGGGGGUAACUGAAACAUAACAGUGGUUAUUCUUGCAUUAAUGCAGGUGAAAUCUUGGAGGAGUUGAAGAGAGUUAAAGAAGUUUACCUCAUUGGCAGAGAUGGAUGAAUGAUUUCCUCUCUUCUUCACGUGAGCUGUUAGAGUAUAAUGGAGAAGGAGUGUUAGGAGGUUGUUUGCUGAAAUGAUAGGUAAAAAGGGUUGAAGGCUGGCUGGAGCUUGAGUACCUACUAAAUGGUAGGGUGGCUGAUGUCGAGUCCCUAUGUGUACCUUGGGGUAUGGCUGUUGUGGCAGAGGUGGAGUGCUUACUGCUGUUGCAGUUGCUGCAGAAAAUGGGGAGGGGACGCAACUGAUCUUAUUCUCCCCUCUCCCUUUAUUACUCCUUCCGUCCACCAAAAAAACUCCCAGUUGGAGUUCGGCAUGGAGACUAAAAAUAGCUGAAAAAGGUGGUGUAAAAGACUAAAAGGAUAGUGUUUAUGUAUUGUGAUUACUUUUACUAAUCUUCCACUAACUAUUUGAUAAUAAUAAUAAUAAUAACAACAACAAUAAUAAUAAUAACAACAAUAAUAAUAAUAAUAACAAUAACAAUAACAAUAAUAAUAAUAAGGAUAAUAAUAAUAAUAAUAAUAACAAUAAUAAUAACAAUAACAAUAACAAUAAUAAGAAUAAGAAUAAUAAUAAUAACA